AUCUGAGCCUGGGUGAGCAGGAGUGAAUCUCCCUUCCUGGAGAUGACUUCUUGGUCUUUUAUUAGCAUUUAUGUCUCGGUCUCUUUUCUUUGGCCACAAAACCACAGUUUUUCCUGUUUGAGGCGAAUGCCUUUGAUAAGAUGAGUAGGAAAGAUCGGCAGCUCCAUGGGCAUCCUGACACAAGCUCCUGAUGAUCACAUUUCAGAUAGAAUCACAAUCCAAUGAGACACUUUACAACAGAUCCUCAAUGCCAGCUCAGGAAAUAAGCACUACUGUAAUCGGGGUGUUCUGCUGGAUGUUACAGAAAGGAACACUGUCACCAGAGAAAAGGAAAAAGAAGACGAGGAGGUACUGAGGGGAAAGCCAGCAUUGGAUUAUAUUGUUACUGUGGUAGUGGUUGUGUUGGUUCUGCUAGUACUCGAGCCCUUGCUGGAAAGUAGACUACUGGCAUCUACCCUCCUGCCUCCGAUGGAGCGUAUUGAUCCUUCACGGACAUUAGAAGGAAGAUCAGCUGCUCUCCAGAACCCCCAGACCUUCAGUGAUGGAGUGGGACUGACUCAGGACCUGAGCAGCCAGUGCUGGGCUCCCAGCUUCCCCAGUGUGCAGACAGCCAGUGUUGGGCUACCCGGGUCGUGUUGUGUUACCCAAUCUGAUUAGGUUGUUGGAACAUGGAGCAAGAAUGGAGUCAUGCGAGGGAAUUCUGAGUGCUGUGAGAAAUCUCCCAGAAAACAAGUCAAGAGUCUGGCCACCUCAGUUCUUCCGAAAUUCAGAACUGUGUCUGGAGUGUGUUGUGUCGGCUGUAGCAGACAGGAGUGAGUGUUCUUCAGCUGCUAUCCUAUGCCUCUGAGAAAAAACAUGGCACGAGCGGCUUGUCCUCAUGAUUGUACACUGUGCUUGGGUGACUCUCCUUAACCCUCAGAGUGGAAAUUGUCUGAUGCUCUCAAUAAAGUUGGCUAUGGCAUGACA